rfam:Schistocephalus solidus strain NST_G2 genome assembly, scaffold: SSLN_scaffold0000099
GGCCUCGUAGCUCAGUUGUUUAGAGCGUUGGCUGUACUAAAGCCUUCCCCUUGCUGGCAUGGGUUCGAAUCCCACCGAGGCCG